rnacentral:rRNA from 1 species
UACAGAGGUCCCAAGCGUUGUUCGGAUUCAUUGGGCGUAAAGAGCUCGUAGGUGGUUCGGUAAGUCGGAUGUGAAAUCUCCAGGCUCAACCUGGAGGGGUCAUUCGAUACUGCCGUGACUAGAGGUCGGUAGGGGAGUGUGGAAUUCCUGGUGUAGCGGUGAAAUGCGCAGAUAUCAGGAGGAACACCAAUUGCGAAGGCAGCUCGCUGGGACGUUACUGACGCUGAGACGCGAAAGCGUGGGGAGCAAACAGG